GGAGAUUGGCCUUUGAUACUGCAGGUCUUGAGUCUAGCUGAGGUAGGCGGAAUGUAGUAUGUAGCGGUGAAAUGCAUAGAUAUACUACAGAACACCCAUUGCGAAGGCAGCUUACCAAACUAGCACUGACGCUCAGGCACGAAAGCGUGGGUAGCAAACAGGAUUAGAUACCCUGGUAGUCCACGCCGUAAACGUUGAUCACUCGUUGUUGGCAAUACACCGUCAGCGACUAAGCAAAAGCAUUAAGUGAUCCACCUGGGGAGUACGAUCGCAAGGUUGAAACUCAAAGGAAUUGACGGGGGCCCGCACAAGCGGAGGAGCAUGUGGUUUAAUUCGAUGAUACGCGAGGAACCUUACCCGGGCUUAAAUGUUGCGUGCAUUCCCGUGAAAACGGGAUUUCCUUCGGGACCCGCUACAAGGUGCUGCAUGGUUGUCGUCAGCUCGUGCCGUGAGGUGUCGGGUUAAGUCCCAUAACGAGCGCAACCCCUAUCUUUAGUUGCCAGUCCCGGUUUAACCGGGAGGGACUCUAAAGAAACUGCCCGCGCAAGCGGUGAGGAAGGCGGGGAUGACGUCAAAUCAGCACGGCCCUUAUGUCCGGGGCUACACACGUGCUACAAUGGCCGGUACAGUGGGCAGCUCAUGCGCGAGCAUUUGCUAAUCUCUAAAACCGGUCUCAGUCCGGAUCGGAGUCUGCAACCCGACUCCGUGAAGCUGGAUUCGCUAGUAAUCGCACAUC
rnacentral:rRNA from 1 species